GAAGCUCUCGCGCACUAAAAUUUUUCUCUCUAAGAUUUCAUGGAGCCUCAUCAACAGCAGCAGCAGCAGCCAUGGAUGGCUCUGCAAUCGCAUCAAGCUCAACAUUCAGCAUCGUCAUGGAGUUCUUCUCAUUCUCAAAGCUAUCAUCAGCCGACCAGUGUAGAAGAGAUACGAACCCUUUGGAUUGGGGAUUUGCAGUAUUGGGUCGAUGAGAAUUAUCUCCACACUUGUUUCUCCCACACAGGAGAGGUGAUUUCUAUAAAAAUUAUACGGAACAAGAUCACUGGUCAGCCAGAAGGUUACGGUUUUGUGGAGUUUGUUUCCCAUGCAGCAGCUGAAAGGAUUUUGCAAACAUAUAACGGAACACCGAUGCCUGGAACUGAGCAAUGUUUUAGGAUGAAUUGGGCUUCUUUUGGCAUAGGUGAAAGGCGCCCAGAUGCUGGACCUGAGCAUUCCAUCUUUGUUGGGGAUCUGGCUCCUGAUGUUACUGACUAUUUAUUGCAAGAGACCUUCCGUGCUCAAUACCCAUCUGUAAGAGGAGCCAAGGUUGUGACUGAUCCAAACACAGGGCGCUCAAAGGGUUAUGGAUUUGUUAAAUUUUCUGAUGAGAAUGAAAGAAAUCGUGCCAUGACAGAGAUGAAUGGUGUCUAUUGCUCAACCCGACCCAUGCGCAUAAGUGCAGCCACUCCAAAGAAAUCUACUGGUAUACAGCAGCAGUAUGCAACACCUAAAGCGGCUGCCUAUCAAGUACCAACUUACACCACUCCUCCUGUCCAAGCAUUUCCUACUGAUAAUGACAUCACUAAUACUACACAGAUAUUUGUUGGUGGUUUGGACCCUAAUGUUACAGAAGAUGAGCUGAAGCAGAUCUUUGGACAAUUUGGGGAGCUUGUCUAUGUUAAGAUACCGAUGGGUAGGGGAUGUGGAUUUGUCCAGUUCAGCAAUAGGGCCUCUGCCGAAGAAGCAUUGCAAAGGAUUCAUGGAACUGUAAUUGGUCAACAGACAGUCCGCCUUUCAUGGGGACGGAGCGUUGCAAACAAAUUGGACCAACCUGGUGUGUGGGGCCAACAAGCUGAUCCAAACCAGUGGGCUGGAGCUUAUUAUGGUUAUGGGCAAGGAUAUGAUGCUUAUACCUAUGGAGCUACUCAAGAUCCCUCUUUAUAUGCCUAUGGUGCUUAUGCUGGAUAUGGGAACUACCCACAACAGGCAAGAAGCUGAAGGUGCUCAAGAUAUGGUUUCAAUGGUUGGUGUCAUCCCAAAUGUUGAACAAAAGGAGGAAGUUUUCGAUCCUCUUGCCCCACCAGACAUUGAUAAGAUGAACUCAGCUUACCUUGCUGUACAUGGGAGUGCCAUGGUAGGACGGCCGCUGUGGUUGAAAGCCAUGCCACAACAGUCGGCAUGAACUUAAAUCAAACCUAAUCAUUUCAUCCCGCUUUCUUUUUUUCUAUUUUUUGUUUUGUUAUAUUAAGUAUAAGUUUGGAUUAAUUAUUCUAUGGUGAAAUAUCUUGAGAUGUGUGUUUGAAGA